AAAUCAUUUUGGGGACAGUUUCUUAUUAAUCCCUUGUAUCUCUCCCAUGCCUCGUAGAGUGACUCACCCAAUUAUUUCUCAAAAUUUGCUAUGGAUUUCUUCAGUUU